rnacentral:snRNA from 1 species
GGAUGUGAGGGUGAUCUGGCUGCGACAUCUGUCACCCCACUGAUCGCCAGGGUUGAUUCGGCUGAUGUGGCUGGCUAGGCGGGUGUCCCCUUCCUCCCUCACCACUCCAUGUGCGUCCCUCCUGAAGCUGUGCGCUUGGUUGAAGAGGAUGGCCUUCCCCAAUAGAGACGGACCUGGUCUUCGGUCGAGGGUAUACGAGUAGCUGCGCUCCCCUGCUAGAAACUCCAAACAAGCUCUCCAUUCAGAUAUAGAGAUAGAGAGAGAAAUAGAGAGGAGAUUGAGGAGACAUCACAGCACCGAUUUUUUUCCCAGUGCUG